AGUGAACGCUGGCGGUAGGCCCAACACAUGCAAGUCGAACGGCAGCACAGUAAGAGCUUGCUCUUACGGGUGGCGAGUGGCGGACGGGUGAGGAAUACAUCGGAAUCUACUUUUUCGUGGGGGAUAACGUAGGGAAACUUACGCUAAUACCGCAUACGACCUACGGGUGAAAGCAGGGGAUCUUCGGACCUUGCGCGAUUGAAUGAGCCGAUGUCGGAUUAGCUAGUUGGCGGGGUAAAGGCCCACCAAGGCGACGACCCGUAGCUGGUCUGAGAGGAUGAUCAGCCACACUGGAACUGAGACACGGUCCAGACUCCUACGGGAGGCAGCAGUGGGGAAUAUUGGACAAUGGGCGCAAGCCUGAUCCAGCCAUACCGCGUGGGUGAAGAAGGCCUUCGGGUUGUAAAGCCCUUUUGUUGGGAAAGAAAAGCAGCAGGUUAAUACCCCGCUGUUCUGACGGUACCCAAAGAAUAAGCACCGGCUAACUUCGUG
rnacentral:rRNA from 1 species